rnacentral:miRNA from 1 species
AAUAUUAGGUUGGCACAAAAGUAAUUGUGGUCUUUGCUAUUACUGUCACUGGUAAUUGACAUGCAAUUACUUUUGCACCAACUUAAUA